rnacentral:rRNA from 1 species
UACGUAGGGUGCAAGCGUUGUCCGGAAUUAUUGGGCGUAAAGAGCUCGUAGGCGGUCUGUCGCGUCGGCUGUGAAGACCCGGAGCUCAACUCCGGGCCUGCAGUCGAUACGGGCAGACUGGAGUUCGGCAGGGGAGACUGGAAUUCCUGGUGUAGCAGUGAAAUGCGCAGAUAUCAGGAGGAACACCGGUGGCGAAGGCGGGUCUCUGGGCCGAUACUGACGCUGAGGAGCGAAAGCGUGGGGAGCGAACAGG